rnacentral:rRNA from 1 species
CGCAACCCUCGCUGUGUGUUACAAGUGUCACACAGGACCGCCGGUCUUAAGCCGGAGGAAGGUGGGGAGUGACGUCAGGUCAGCAUGGCCUUUAUGUCCAGGGCUACACACACGCUACAAUGGUCAGCACAAUAGGUAGCCAAGCCGCGAGGUGGAGCCAAUCCUCAAAGCUGGCCUCAGUUCAGAUCGCAGGCUGCAACCCGCCUGCGUGAAGCCGGAGUUGCUAGUAACCGCAGGUCAGCUAUACUGCGGUGAAUACGUUCCCGGGGGCUU